GAACAAGACAACUGCUCGGUCUGCUCUAGUAAUCCCAAAAUCAUCAGGCCGCGAAAAAAGCGAUUUUGGACUUGGUUUGGAUGUCUCAGUAGGGCAGAGGAGUAGUUACCUCUUCACUGCAUUGGUUCUACCCAGGCUGUUCCGGUGGCUCCAGAGGAAUGAACCUCAACACGCUCAGCUCUUGUCUAUCACCUCUUGAAGGACAUAUUAUGACCAUUUGACCUUCAGAAUUAAAGAUGGCAACAAUAAUAAAUACAAAAAUGUGUUUCAUCCCUUGUAUGUAGCUCAUGGGCCUGGUAGGCCCGUUCGGUAAUCCAUCCCUGAUCUGAAUAAUGUAACAGAUUUAUCAUUAAAUUAUUGUUAGGCAUGCUAUGGAACAGAACUAGUUCACAGUGCACUAACAAGUAGGCGUCUGUGGUUUCCUACACAGACAUGAUUCAAGCAAUGAGAAAGAAAGUAGCUGUAAACAGGAAAUGCACAUGGGCUUUGCUUGGCUGUAUGAGAAGAGAGUAAAUGGCCUGGACAGGACGUGAUAUUUCCUGACAUAUGUACCGACUGAUAGACUGAUGUAGACAGUGCAACGUGAUCUCUAAAACCUAUUCGUAUUAAUGUAUACGAAAUAUUGUGACAGAGAAAUUCGUACAUUUUGUU